AUUGAACGCUGGCGGCAUGCCUUACACAUGCAAGUCGAACGGCAGCACGGGAGCAAUCCUGGUGGCGAGUGGCGAACGGGUGAGUAAAGUAUCGGAACGUGCCCAGUCGUGGGGGAUAACGUAGCGAAAGUUACGCUAAUACCGCAUACGAUCUAUGGAUGAAAGCGGGGGAUCGCAAGACCUCGCGCGAUUGGAGCGGCUGAUAUCAGAUUAGGUAGGUGGUGGGGUAAAGGCUCACCAAGCCGACGAUCUGUAGCUGGUCUGAGAGGACGACCAGCCACACUGGGACUGAGACACGGCCCAGACUCCUACGGGAGGCAGCAGUGGGGAAUUUUGGACAAUGGGCGAAAGCCUGAUCCAGCCAUGCCGCGUGCAGGAUGAAGGCCUUCGGGUUGUAAACUGCUUUUGUACGGAACGAAAAGGUUUGGCCUAAUAAGCUGAGCUCAUGACGGUACCGUAAGAAUAAGCACCGGCUAACUACGUGCCAGCCGCCGCGGUAA
rnacentral:rRNA from 1 species